CGGCCGGGCUGGUGGGGCGGGGGCGCUCGGCCCGGGACUCGGGGCGGGGGGCGGGGGCGGCGGCCCGAGGAGGUGUGGGGCGGGGAGGGGGCUCGGGAGGCACCGGGCGCCGUUAGCGCCCUGGCAUCGCUGUUUUGUUGUUGGGUCACGAGUGCGCCUCUGCACGCAGGCGCCGCCGCCGCCCGGGAGUUGGGUGCAGAGCUGACUUUUGGAGGACUGAGUUGCAGGCGGCGGGUGCAUCCCGGAGAUGGCGGGGCAGGGAGGGAGGGAAGGAGGAGGGGGUGGGGAGGGAGGUGCAGAUUUGCACGGCUGGCCUCAGCGGGAGGCGCGGAAAUGCAAGCCGAGCGUGCUGGCGUGAAAGCCCCCGGGGCCUGGCAGCCCCUAAAACGACCCCCCUCACCUUAGUCCCUGCCCCCAUGGCCCCGAGCUGCCCCUCUUCCUCUUCCUUCGUCGGUAACCUGCGUGGCUGACCCAAAUUCAAAGCGUUUUGUGUGUGUGUGUGUGUAUAUAUAUACAUGGGCUGGUUGUUUUUUUUUUUUUUUUUUUUGGCUUUGCAUGUCUUUCGUGGGGGGAGGGGCGACCCUCUCUAGACCCCUGUUUGCGGACCUGCCAUUUGGAAGAGGCAAAGGAGGGAGGGGGCUCAGAAGAAAAUGAGCACAGACCCCCCCCUCCCUGACUGCAGAGACUGCAUAACUUUUAAAGUCCCGGGGCUCAAAGAUAAGGGGCACCCGCACCCCCCAACACUCCCACACACACACACACACACACACAGGUACAGGAAACACAGCUAGACCAGAGCCUUUUCAGACCGCUGACCGGAAGACGUUGCCUUUCAUUCAUUCAUUCUGCCCGCCUCUGUGGAGUCCUUUUACUGGGCGACGAGCCCUGAAACCCAAGGUGGACGUUUUUAAGAGGUCCUGCGCUCGCCGCCGAGAGGAGGCAAUGGAUGCUCCGGAGUGAGAAACCCAAAGAAUCGGAUCUGGCGCCUCCUGACGCAGCUCGCCAGCAAGCUAAGGGUUGACUGAACAGCUCUGUGCCCAAAGACAGAGAGAAAGAUAGAAGGAACAGCUCCAAUUAAAGGCAUUCUCUGGCCUGGGCCAAGGGAUGAACCAAUGGCUUCCCGAAGAAAGAAGAGUUCACACUGGAUGGAGCCCUCAGAAUCCGGGAUUUUCAAGCUGCUAAGGAACUGAAGCUAUUCUCACAUUUUUAUAAGUUCAUGGGAAAAUGGAAUUAAAAGAUAGUUUUAUUUAACAACAACAACAAAAAAGAAAUCCAAGCAUAGAAUUUUUUCAUAACAUUUUCUAUGAAUUUUUGGAAGACCACUGGUAUGCAUGGAUUCUAAAUUUUUGCACCAAAAUGAAAUUAUCUGUUAUUGCAUUUUCCAGAAACUUUUUGAGUACCCUCAAAUAAUUUCAGUAGCUCUCAAGUUCAAGAAGUUAGUUUUUGAGCAAAGGCUCUUCCACAUGCUCCUGAAUCCUCACCAGAGCUCUGGUGGAGGCCGUGGUGUUCUCCACUUUAUAUCUGAGGCCCAAGGAGAAGCCAAGCUGCUUGGCCAAACUUUACAGCUAUAGAAAAACAGUGUCAGGAUUUGAACCCAGAGCUUGUUGGAACCCACUGGAUUCACCACUGUACUAUGCCUCUCCCCAGGGGUUUUCCUUUUAUAAAAAAGAGUGGGGAAACUUUCCCGCCAAAGGGCCAUGUGGAUAUUUAUAAUAUCAACUUAAAAAUUAUCCUGCUAUAGAUUUACUGAAUUCCAAGUCCAGCAUGUAGUUGCCUUGGCAGAGCCAGACCAAAUGAUUUCUCAGGCCAAACUUCACCCACCUCUGCCUUAGAACUGUACCAUGGAAAUAUUCUGUAUUUGUGCUGUCCCACACAAUCCCCUCUAGCCACAUGUAGAUACGGGGCAACUGAAAUGUGGGUGCUGGGCUCAGGGAACUGAAUGUUUUCAAGUUUAUUUUAAUCAUACUUAAAUAAAUACAAGAGGAUGUCUAAAA